AGUAAGACCAAGCUCGGUGCCCCAUUUCCUUGUCUGUAGCCAUGUCUGUGGGCCCUUGAGUUGGCCACCUGGGUGAGGGCCUGCU
rfam:Pan troglodytes isolate Yerkes chimp pedigree #C0471 (Clint) chromosome 4, whole genome shotgun sequence.